rnacentral:rRNA from 1 species
ACGAGGAAAGAAACAAACCGGGAUUGCCCCAGUAACGGCGAGUGAGCGGCAAAGCUCAAAUUUGAAAUCUGGCCCUUCCGGGGUCCGAGUUGUAAUUUGUAGAGGAUGCUUCGGGUGCGGCCCCUGUCUAAGUGCUCUGGAACGGGCCAUCGGAGAGGGUGAGAAUCCCGUCUGGGACGGGGUGUCCGUGUCCGUGUGAAGCUCCUUCGACGAGUCGAGUUGUUUGGGAAUGCAGCUCUAAAUGGGUGGUAAAUUUCAUCUAAAGCUAAAUAUAGGCCGGAGACCGAUAGCGCACAAGUAGAGUGAUCGAAAGAUGAAAAGCACUUUGAAAAGAGAGUUAAACAGCACGUGAAAUUGUUGAAAGGGAAGCACUUGCAACCAGACUCGCCCACGGGGUUCAGCCGGCUUUCGGGCCGGUGUACUUCCCCGGGGGCGGGCCAGCGUCGGUUUGGGCGGCCGGUUAAAGGCCCCCGGAAUGUAACACCCCUCGGGGUGUCUUAUAGCCGGGGGUGCCAUGCGGCCAGCCCAGACCGAGGAACGCGCUUCGGCACGGACGCUGGCAUAAUGGUUGCAAAUGAC